rnacentral:rRNA from 1 species
AACGAACGCUGGCGGCACGCCUAACACAUGCAAGUCGAGCGCUACCUUCGGGUGGAGCGGCGGACGGGUUAGUAACGCGUGGGAACAUACCCUUUUCUGCGGAAUAGCCUUUGGAAACGAAGAGUAAUACCGCAUACGCCCUUCGGGGGAAAGAUUUAUCGGUGAAGGAUUGGCCCGCGUUAGAUUAGAUAGUUGGUGGGGUAACGGCCUACCAAGUCUACGAUCUAUAGCUGGUUUGAGAGGAUGAUCAGCAACACUGGGACUGAGACACGGCCCAGACUCCUACGGGAGGCAGCAGUGGGGAAUCUUAGACAAUGGGCGAAAGCCUGAUCUAGCGAUGCCGCGUGAGUGACGAAGGCCUUAGGGUCGUAAAGCUCUUUCGCCAGGGAUGAUAAUGACAGUACCUGGUAAAGAAACCCCGGCUAACUCCG